CCCAACGUGACAUUCAUUCAUCACUUCUUACGACUCGUAGAGAAGCCGAACGUGAUGCAGCUCCUUUCUGCUCCAUCAUCCAAUCACUGGUUUUCAUAUUUCAUCCAAGCCCAUUCACUUAGCCACAAAGGAAAGCAAUUUUCAGCAUCUGUAGAAGAAGAUUACCAACUUUCUUCAAUAUUUCUCUCAAUUUUCGCAUGCCCUAGGUAACUCUAGACUCAAACAUCACUUGGCUCAUACCCACCAUAGCAUGAAGCUUGCCGAAGUGUCCCACCAAAUGUGAAACAACAAUGUGUUGAUCACUUGAAGACAUAAAGAAACAAAAACUACGCAAAAUGAAAUGUUUUGUGAGAUUGGGCAAGGAGAUGUGAAUAUGGAAAUGGAGUUUGAAUCUCAAUCGAAAGGUUAUGGAAUAAGUGGAAGUAGGGUUGGAAGUGUAAGUGCAGGUGGAAGUGGGAGUGCUAGUGGUAGUGGGGGUGUACCACAUUCAAAUGGUCCACCCCUAGGCCGAGAGGAUCACUUGAUAGGUUUGUAGCCAAGCAACAGUGAAUUCCACAUACAAAAAGGAAGAAAGGAAACAAGUGUGUCGAAAGGUUGGGAGCUUUUUUUACACUUGUGCAAUUCCAUUUACUGCCGUCAAUAAUCCUUAUUAGUUGACUAUAAUGGAUGGAAUUGCCAAUUUUGGUCCCGGGUUCAAACCUCUUAGUGCUCAUGAGUGGAGAACUUGGAUUCCCAAAGCAGAAGUUGAAGAUGUUGAGAAUAAAAUUCCCACAAUUUAGGAGAUUGUAUAUACCAUAAUUGUUGUAAUCCCAUCACACAUUGGCCAACCUUAAUUCUAGCUUAGCAGUAACUUAUUUCCUAGAAUAGCACUUUGCUGUAGCCAUAUAUACAUAUGUAUCUGUACAUUGAAUCAAUAUCAAUUAUCGAUUCAUUCUCCAA